rnacentral:lncRNA from 1 species
CCAGGUCUGGCUUGUUUUCAGUUAACUUGGUUGUCCUUGGAUACAAAAUGCUAUUCCGCUGCUCCUGGGCCACAGUGGGGCAGGAGAAACUCAUGGGGUCUAUGCAGGGUCCUUCAAACAGGCAGACUAACCUACAGAUCCCAUUCUCUAUGCCCAGCUUGGUAAAAGAUUGAAGACUCUUUAAGAAGUUUCUACUAAAAUUAAUGAAGACUAGCCCAAUACCCUCCUCUCAGUUCCUCUCGGACCCCCCAGCCUCCAAGAUGCCAUGCCAAAGAGUUUUCUCUUUGAUCUCCCAGAUGCCUUGUCCAUUCUCAUAUUGGCAGAAAG